AUCGAUACCUGUCAGCAUGGUUUUGUAGGCCAGAGCUAUCCAAUAAGGAAGCUCUCCAUGACGUUCCUCUAAGCGCAAUAUCUUGUUCCUCAUUUUGCAUGCUCUCCCCACACCCUGUUAUAAUACCCAUAUCUUUUCCAGGCAGCACCUGGAAAACACUGUCACUCACAUACAACUCCUCUCUCUUCAGUGAGCUUCCACCCCAGUUACCAAAUGGCUUCACUUAAAAUAUCAUCCUUCCUUCCUGCCCCAUCCCUCUUUACUCCUAUGCAUUCAGUUCAGCAGAGAAGUAGAGCAAAGGGCCUGCAAACACAGGGCUGGACCAGGAGGAGAUGCUGGGCAGGUACUGAGUACCACUGUUGCUCAAUGAAAACAGGUGGCAAAUGACCUGGCUGCUCAUUAAAAGUUGAUUGUGUUCUGCCUUUAACUGCUACCAGGUGUCCUGGGCUGAAUAAAAGCAGAGCCUGAGCAGUGCCUUAGCCUAGAGAGUAAGGAGGGAAUGUAAAGCUGGCUGCUUGAGCUCAUGAGCAAUGAUUCACUAAUGCAUAGGAAGGUGUUCCCUUAAUUUUUAUGCCUUGACAAUAGCACAAGUGUGAUGGCUGUAUGGUCUGUGAAUGGCACAGAAGGGGGUUCUGAGGAAUAGGAGCAGAUCUGGAUAUUGAUCCCAGAUAAAAUGCGGGAUGUUCUCAUCUGGUUUCUGCGUAACAUAAGCAGUGUGAGUGUAAACUGGCUGUAUGGUGAUUAUGCAAGCAUUGCACCAAGUGUACAUGUGCUCACUUUUAUAUUGAGAAAUGCAAAAGUGAGGUUAGCAGGAAGAAAAGCCAACUGUCUGCAAGAAGGAAGCAGGCCAGCUCCUUCCUGUGGAGCUCACUUGUUCUUGCUUCCCCUUCAUCCCAAGAAACUGUGUGAAGCACGUUCCCUCUGCUCCACCUGGAGGCAGAGCCCAGCUGAGCCAUGGGAGGUGCUCACCCCACAUAGGUCAGUGGUCAUUGCUGGGUAACAGCUGCUGUGCUGGGUGUGGGUAUUACAGUGUGUGUUGUUGGCAGGCAUCCUGUGGGGGCUGCAGGCACCAGUAGGCAUUACUGUGCCUUUUGGUUUCUAAUCUGUGCACUCCUCUGUGGAUACAGGCACGUAUAAGGUUGUGGAAUUGAUGCUCUGAUGCAGA
rnacentral:lncRNA from 1 species